CCUACGGGAGGCAGCAGUGGGGAAUAUUGGUCAAUGGGCGCAAGCCUGACCCAGCAACGCCGCGUGAAGGAAGAAGGCUCUCGGGUUGUAAACUUCUUUUCUCAGGGACGAAGCAAGUGACGGUACCUGAGGAAUAAGCCACGGCUAACUACGUGCCAGCAGCCGCGGCAAUACGUAGGUGGCAAGCGUUAUCCGGAUUUACUGGGUGUAAAGGGCGUGUAGGCGGGAAAGCAAGUCAGAUGUGAAAACCAUGGGCUCAACCUGUGGCCUGCAUUUGAAACUGUUUUUCUUGAGUACUGGAGAGGCAGACGGAAUUCCUGGUGUAGCGGUGAAAUGCGUAGAUAUUAGGAAGAACACCAGUGGCGAAGGCAGUCUGCUGGACAGCAACUGACGCUGAGGCGCGAAAGCGUGGGGAGCAAACAGGAUUAGAUACCCCAGUAGUC
rnacentral:rRNA from 1 species